CGGGGGAGGCCGGAUCCUGGGCUGUGCCUCGGCGCCCUGUGCCCCGGUCUGCGCUGUUGGAUUCGCGCUCCCGCCCCACAGCCCCCU
rnacentral:pre_miRNA from 1 species